rnacentral:rRNA from 1 species
AUUGGUCAAUAGCCUAACGGCUGAACCAGCAACUUGGAGGAAUGAAAGGCAAUAGCUGAUUGCAUUAAAUUUAAAAUUAGAGUUUUUUUUAUUUUUAAUGUAGUUACUACUUUGUAGUUUAAAUUUCUAGGUAGAAUUAUGAUGAUGACAUUAUCUAUCUAUAGGUCUUGACCAAAUUACGUGCCAGCAGUCGCGGUAAUACGUAGAAGACAAGUGUUAUUCAUCUUUAUUAGGUUUAAAGAGUACCAAGACGGUUAAUAAAGCCCAAAAUACAUGAGCACAGGGGACACAUUAACUAGAGUUAUAUGAAAGGAAGCAUUAAGGUACUGUUGAGUGUAGAGAUAAAAUUCAGUCAUACCAGAUGAAAGGCACAGAUUUAUGCGAAGGCAUCUUCUUAUGUAAUAACUGACGUUGUAGGACGAAGGCUUUUGAAGUGAAGAGGAUUAGAUACCCUUGUAAUUUAAGCAGAAAAUGAUGAAUGUCAUAGGUUUAAUAUAUACAGCCCAAAAAAAAAAGGGUCGAUGUUUUAUUGGGUCUAUAAAUGAAAGUGUAAGCAUUCCACCUCAAGAGUAAUUUGGCAACAUUGGAACUGAAAUCAUUAGACCGUUUCUGAAACCAGUAGUGAAGUAUGUUGUUUAAUUA